rnacentral:tRNA from 1 species
GGUCCCGUAGCCCAGUGGCCAAGGCGCUUCCCCGACACGGAAGAGAGCGGUGGUUCGAGUCCACCCGGGAUCA